rnacentral:rRNA from 1 species
GAUGAACGCUGGCGGCGUGCCUAAUACAUGCAAGUCGAGCGAACGGACGAGAAGCUUGCUUCUCUGAUGUUAGCGGCGGACGGGUGAGUAACACGUGGAUAACCUACCUAUCAGACUGGGAUCACUUCGGGAAACCGGAGCUAAUACCGGAUAAUAUAUUGAACCGCAUGGUUCAAUAGUGAAAGACGGUUUUGCUGUCACUUAUAGAUGGAUCCGCGCCGCAUUAGCUAGUUGGUAAGGUAACGGCUUACCAAGGCAACGAUGCGUAACCGACCUGAGGGGGGGAUCGGCCACACGGGAGCUGAGACACGGUCCUGACUCCUACGGGAGGCAGCAGUAGGGAAUCUUCCGCAAUGGGCGAAAGCCUGACGGAGCAACGCCGCGUGAGUGAUGAAGGUCUUCGGAUCGUAAAACUCUGUUAUUAGGGAAGAACAAAUGUGUAAGUAACUAUGCACGUCUUGACGGUACUUAAUCAGAAAGCCACGGCUAACUACGUG